UGGGUGUAGUAAAAUUUUAUAGAGUAAAGAAUGAGAGAAACUUUCACAUCUUGCCUCUUAAGCCGACAGUGGUUCUUCGGCCGUGGCUAGCGGCGCUGAAGCGCGAGAAUCCUCCGGUUAGUAGCGAGCAUUUUCUAGACGAGGACUAUGUGGAGGAAAGCCAGGAGCAUUAGUCGUUCGCCGGACAAAUAAACUGAAGUCUGAGGCUUUUUCCUCAGUUUUAAUUUUUCCUCUGAACAGCUGGGAUGUACAGACCACCCGACUGGAGAUAACGUUAUAACAGCAGAAGCUGUGAGCAGCAAGCAACGAACCAAACGACGCGCCCACCCAGCAGAGCAGCGAGAGGUUUCAUUGAGAAGAACAAACAAGCGCCAGAAGACAAUGUGCCAUCAGAUGUCUGAACAUGAGCAAAACUCAAAGAUGAAGAUAUGUGAACUUACGAUCAUCAUCCUCAUACUUUUACUUCCAAUCAAAGGUGCAACAGUUACUCCAAUUUCUGUGCUGCUGGGAAAGCCCUUUGUCUUUCAUCUGCCAAAUGUACCGGAUAGAUUCAAAAUCAACUUCAUUGAAUGGAAACAAGCAAAUAAACUUUUGGCUACUAUUGAACCUAAUAAAGAACCUGAGCUAUUUGCCAUUCAGACUAGAAUUAAAUUCAUGAACAAUGGAUCAAUGUUCAUCAAAGAUUUCCAGCGUGAAGAUGCUGGGAAUUACACUUGCAAGAUCAUUUCCCAAAAUGGUGAAACUGAAACACACGUUGUCUGCUUGACUCCAUACUCAGAAAAUGAAGAACAGUCUGAAAAUAGGAAUCAGAUAUCUGAAAACUGCACAAGUGCACCAUCAGAAAACGCCACAAGUGCACCAUCAGUUCCUCACAGUAAUGACAUACUCAAGAUUGUAAUACCAGUGAGUGCGGCAACCUCCGGUUUAAUUCUGCUUGUUGUUGUAAUAACAAUAAUUUUCAAGUGCAGGAAAAAGUGCAGAAAUUCAGAUGAUGCUAUUUACAACAACGUCGAUUACAUAAAAAACCAAAAUGCAAAGAAACCAAAGAAGCAGAAGAAGUAGUUAAAGCUGUCCUGAUUGGAUUUGUAUCUGAACACUGACUACAUCUCACACAUCUAUUCACGGCUCUGAAAAUAAUAGUAAUCUGAAUUUGCAUGGUUUAUAUGUGAGUGGUUUAAAUAUAUAAAUACUAUAUAUAUGUAUAUAUAGUGUAGAUAAGUAACUGUGUUGAUGAAACUUUUUCGAUUGCACCCGCCACUAUCAAAACUAACGUGUUAGUGUUGUUGAGUGAUGUAACCAUGAACAGAAACUAGACAAUGUGGUUUUUAUAGGCCUGUUGUUCGGUGUGCAGUUGCCAGGAAAUGUUGCUUGCUGCAUGUGUGGUGGGCUUCGAAGUUCACCUUUUUUUAGUACUACUGAUAUCACUGUGCUGUGCUGAAUUCUGAAUGCAACUUAAAGGACCUCUAUCUUUUCUAUGGAAAAAGUAGCAACACUAUCGGAACCACAUGGAAAGACAAAGCAACACCUAGCAUUCCCAUAGAAAUUAAGCAGCACAUUCAGGAAAUACACAUUUCUAUUUUUUUAUAUAAUUAUAUAACAUUUUGGUUUGAAAUUCUGAUGUUUUCUGAUUUUUGUGUUAAAUUAUAAAUAGGCGACCCUUAACCCAACACUACAAUAUGACCUCAAUCAAACCAAGUUUCCCUAAUUUUGUAAAAAUAAAUGUGUGACCUAAUGUAUAAGUAUUGUUAAA
ensembl:lncRNA